rnacentral:rRNA from 1 species
CACGUAUGGGCGAGCGUUGUUCGGAAUUAUUGGGCGUAAAGGGCAUGCAGGCGGUUAUACAAGUCUGGUGUGAAAGACUCAAGCUUAACUUGAGGAACGCAUUGGAAACUGUAUGACUAGAGUUCUGGAGGGAAGCUGGAAUUCCAGGUGUAGGGGUGAAAUCUGUAGAUAUCUGGAAGAACAUCAGUGGCGAAGGCGAGCUUCUAGCCAAGGACUGACGCUGAGAUGCGAAAGCGU